rnacentral:lncRNA from 1 species
UUUUGCCCAUAACUUUAUCUUUAUUUUGAAUAACUUUAUAGUUGUUUUUUGAAAUGCAAGUCACUUUUCGAUUUACAACUCAACCCCUUAUCUUGUUUCUUUGAGCUCCAUAUACAAUUUUUGUGUUUUGAGUAUAAAAUAAGCACCAACUACAACUUCAAGUAAGUGUUUUAAUUUAUGAGAGUAACCUACUGUAUGAAAAAUUGUUCAAUGAACUCUUUAUUUCAAAAGUUGUAUAAAUAAUAUACAUACAUUUCAAUAUUUUUAUCUCUUCCUCCCAUACCCAUUCCGACAACUUUUAUUCUAAAUGGAACUACCCCAGAUUUAAGUAAGUAAUGUAUAUAGAGAGUUUCUCUCUGAAGUAACUUACUUUCUAUUAAGUGAAAACGACGGAAUUUUUGGAAAACCACGCCCUUAACGGCAAUAAUAGCUUCCAGGCGGCAGGUCUGGUUCCCUCUGCGGAUAUAGUCGUCUGUCAUGGCGUCCUUGUGCUGACUUGUCUGUUUCCUUUUGCUCAUCCGUGUCCAGUUUGGCCUUUUGGACAUAGCCAUUCUUCCUCUCCAACGUAUCGGACUUGCUAACGGCGUAGACAGUGGUGCCGAAGACGCUAAACUGCAUGGAAUGCGCGAACGGAAAUCAUUCGAUCACGAAAAAGUGUCAUUUCUCAGCUUGUACGUGAACUAGAGAGCUCAGCUAUUUUGUAAUUAAUUGUUUAUGCUUUAAUAAAUCAAAAAAUGAAUUAA